GAAUAUUGGACAAUGGGGGGAACCCUGAUCCAGCCAUGCCGCGUGUGUGAAGAAGGCCUUUUGGUUGUAAAGCACUUUAAGCGAGGAGGAGGCUACUUAGAUUAAUACUCUAGGAUAGUGGACGUUACUCGCAGAAUAAGCACCGGCUAACUCUGUGCCAGCAGCCGCUGUAAUACAGGGGGUGCAAACGUUAAUCGGAUGUACUGGGAUUAAAGCGCGCGUAGGUGGCCAAGUAAGUCAAAUGUGAAAUCCCCGAGCUUAACUUGGGAAUUGCAUUCGAUACUGGUUGGCUAGAGUAUGGGAGAGGAUGGUAGAAUUCCAGGUGUAGCGGUGAAAUGCGUAGAGAUCUGGAGGAAUACCGAUGGCGAAGGCAGCCAUCUUGCCUAAUACUGACACUGAGGUGCGAAAGCAUGGGGAGCAAACAG
rnacentral:rRNA from 1 species